CACAGGAUGGAACUGCUACACAGACA
rnacentral:piRNA from 1 species